GGGGUUGCGGCUCAGUGGUAGAGCUCUUGCCUUGCAAGUAUGAGGCACUGGGUUGGAUCCUCAGCACCA
rnacentral:tRNA from 1 species